rnacentral:ncRNA from 2 species
GACCGCAUAGCGCAGUGGAU